rnacentral:tRNA from 1 species
GCUCCGGUAGCUCAGUGGUAUAGCGCAUGCUUUGCAUGCAUGAGGCCCCGGGAUCGGUCCCCGGCAUCU